GGGCGCGUAGCUCAAGGGCAGAGCACCGUGCUGAUAACGCGGGGGCUGAUGGUUCGAAUCCAUCCGCGCCCA
rnacentral:tRNA from 2 species